rnacentral:rRNA from 1 species
CUUGAGGCUGAAGUACAUGAUUCCAUGCUUCCAAGAAAAGCAUCUGGAGAGAGAAGUAGUGCCCGUACCGUAAACCGACACAGGUAGAUGAGGAGAGAAUCCUAAGGCCGGCGGAAGAAUUGCAGUUAAGGAACUAGGCAAAUUGACCCCGUAAGUUAGCGAGAAGGGGUGCCUGCGAGAGCAGGCCGCAGAGAAUAGGCCCAAGCAACUGUUUAGCAAAAACACAGGUCUCUGCUAAAGCGCAAGCUGAUGUAUAGGGGCUGACGCCUGCCCGGUGCUGGAAGGUUAAGGGGAACACUUAGCGCAAGCGAAGGUGUGAACUUAAGCCCCAGUAAACGGCGGCCGUAACAAUAACGGUCCUAAGGUAGCGAAAUUCCUUGUCAGGUAAGUUCUGACCCGCACGAAUGGCGUAAUGACUUGGGCACUGUCUCAACUGCAAAUCCGGCGAAGUUGUAGUGCGAGUGAAGAUGCUCGCUACCCGCGAUUGGACGGAAAGACCCCGUAGAGCUUUACUGUAGCUUAGCAUUGAAUUCCGGUAUUGUCUGUACAGGAUAGGUGGGAGACUGGGAAACUAGGGCGUCAGCCUUAGUGGAGUCGUCCUUGGGAUACCACCCUGACAGUACUGGGGUUCUAACAGGACGCCAUGAAUCUGGUGACUGGACAUUGUUAGGUGGGCAGUUUGACUGGGGCGGUCGCCUCCUAAAAAGUAACGGAGGCGCCCAAAGGUUCCCUCAGAACGGUCGGAAAUCGUUCGUAGAGUGCAAAGGCAGAAGGGAGCCUGACUGCGAGACCUACAAGUCGAGCAGGGACGAAAGUCGGGCUUAGUGAUCCGGUGGUACCUCGUGGGAGGGCCAUCGCUCAACGGAUAAAAGCUACCUCGGGGAUAACAGGCUGAUCUCCCCCAAGAGUCCACAUCGACGGGGAGGUUUGGCACCUCGAUGUCGGCUCGUCGCAUCCUGGGGCUGUAGUAGGUCCCAAGGGUUGGGCUGUUCGCCCAUUAAAGCGGCACGCGAGCUGGGUUCAGAACGUCGUGAGACAGUUCGGUCCCUAUCCGUCGCGGGCGUAGGAAAUUUGAGAGGAGCUGUCCUUAGUACGAGAGGACCGGGAUGGACUGACCUCUGGUGCACCAGUUGUUCUGCCAAGAGCAUGGCUGGGUAGCUAAGUCGGGAAGGGAUAAACGCUGGAAGCAUCUAAGCGUGAAGCCUCCCUCAAGAUGAGAUUUCCCAUAGCAUAAGCUAGUAAGACCCCUUGAAGAACACGAGGUUGAUAGGUCAGAGGUGUAAGUGUGGUAACAUAUUUAGCUGACUGAUACUAAUAGGUCGAGGGCUUGACC